ensembl:lncRNA
UCGGCAGGUCGUGUCUUUGGGUUCAGGCUCAGCACAUCCAGAUGUUCUUCGAGGAGCUUGUGCGAAGUUGGCCCAGCCCUACUCUGGUCUUCAGCCCUCAGCCAGGCCCACAAACGUCAUGGUAAUCACUUGGUCUGCGAAGCCCGGGGCGCCUUUGGGCUGCAGGGGGUUAAGGGGACCCAACGGGGCCUGCGCGCAGCCUCCCUCCCCCGCUCCGGCCUAGGCCAGCAGGACUUGCUGUCCAAAGGACCUCAUAAGACAUCCGAGCAGUCUUUUCUUAGAAACAGGAAACUGUCUUCAGCCAAGUACAAAUGAACUGAAGCACCCAGAAACCUGAGGAUCGCUCCAAACUCGGAGGCCUGGAGGCAGACGGGAGGGUUGAACUCCUGGCAGGGUCUCCCUGACUCAUUUGCUCAUGAAUGGGAUUGAUCUCAGCUGCGCUCAGCCAGUCCCCACUGCUCUCAGACCAUUAUCUCAUUUUCCAUUAGGGUCACCAGGCAACCACCCGAAAGCGACAACUCUCCUGACGCAGACUCUACUUGGCCCAGCGAGCAGCUCUGUAUCCCAUUACCAAGCCUGGGCUGGCUCCAGGGCGGGAUGUGCCAAAGGCCUGUUGCUGGCGAGGGCGAGGGCGAGGGCGAGGGCGAGGGCGGGUGGCGGGUUCCAGGGACCAGCUCCGAGCAGGAGCAGCGCCUGUGCCCUUGCAGGGAGGCUGGUCCCAGGGAGUGAGGGGACGUGGGCUGAGUCAGGUAGAGGCAGCAAGGUCGCUCCCAAACGAAGCAUUCUCCUCUGUCCCUUCUGGCUGGAACAUUUUUUCCUCUCUUUAAGGUGUCACCAAGGAAAUAAACUGCUGUGUUCCUUAAAAAAAAUGAUGUUAACAUCUUUUUAUAUGAUGAUUUACAGUGUUCAAGUUUCCACGAUUGACAUUUACCCUCCACCUCGCUGUUGGAGGCAAGUAGGGUGCUGUCUUUAUUUUAGGUUGGAGAAACUGAGCUCAGAGAUCGAGGUACGAGCCCCGUGUUGUCUCAGUGAGUAAUUAAUUGGCUGAGGCCAAUCAGGACUUCCUCCCACACCAAGCUGGGGUGUUCAUCUUGGAGGUGAGGGAGAGCCGGUAUGGGCGUGUGGGGGAUGGAGGAGGGCCUCUGUCCCAGGCAGGGUGAUCAGAGAAAGCCUUCCAAGAAGUUGCCUCUUGAUCGGAGCCCGAGAAGAGCAAGGGAGCCCUCGGGGUGCUUCUUGGGCGCAUGUUGGAAGGCAUCAUGGACUCGUACAUGCACCCCAGCUUUCCAGGGGAAGUGUCAUCACCCCAGGGAGAGAUAAAAACCCUCAGAGCAGCUUGCUGGAGUCUCACAGCUGUCAGGAGGGGAAAGAGGGUGUGGACCAAGGGCUGUCUUCUUCAAAGCUCUGCUCCUAACCACCAUCAGUUUCAGGCAGAGGCAUCUCACCAGGUGGGGUGAUAUUUAGGGCAGGGUCCUCUCCACUCAGAUUCCUCAGAAAACACUUGGGGUUUGCCAAGCACCACCUAGGUGAUUUAAACAGGGCACAUACUGGCUUAAGAAAAACUGGCCUGUUUUAUUAUUUGACUAAAUUUUUAUUUCCUGUUUUUGUAUUUCCUAUCAGGCAAAGGACCAGCGCCCACAGAUGACAGUCCAUAUCAAGUGCGUGAUAGCUAGAGAGGCUGGACCAAGUAUGACCAAGGUCAUACUUCUUUAAAUGUCACUAUAUGCCAGCACCACCGUUAAGACCUAUUGGUCUAGGGAUCCCUGGGUGGCGCAGCGGUUUGGCGCCUGCCUUUGGCCCAGGGCGUGAUCCUGGAGUCCCGGGAUCGAAUCCCAUGUCGGGCUCCCGGUGCAUGGAGCCUGCUUCUCCCUCUGCCUGUGUCUCUGCCUCUCUCUCUCUCUCUCUGUGUGAUUAUCAUAAAUAAAUAAAAAUUAAAAAAGACCUGUUGGUCUAUC